AACGAACGCUGGCGGCGCGCCUAACACAUGCAAGUCGAACGAGAAGGCGUAGCAAUACGCUUGUAGAGUGGCGAACGGGUGAGUAAUACGUGGGUGACCUACCCUCGAGUGGGGAAUAACCCGCCGAAAGGCGGGCUAAUGCCGCGUACGCUUCCGUCCUCACGGGGACGGAAGGAAAGCUGUACCGUGGGUACGGCGCUCAAGGAUGGGCUCACGUCCUAUCAGCUUGUUGGUAGGGUAACGGCCACCAAGGCUACGACGGGUAGCUGGUCUGAGAGGACGAUCAGCCACACUGGCACUGCGACACGGGCCAGACUCCUACGGGAGGCAGCAGUGAGGAAUAUUGCGCAAUGGGCGAAAGCCUGACGCAGCGACGCCGCGUGGGGAUGAAGGUC
rnacentral:rRNA from 1 species